rnacentral:lncRNA from 1 species
AAAAAUCAAGGAGCAAUUCGGGGAAUUGGAAUUUAGGAAGAAUUCCUAUGCUGAAAUACACUCACUCGACCAUAAAUAAUAAGUGCCGUAUAUUUUUGCCUUUAGGAUUCAGUUUUUUUCUUCUUCUAUUUUCUUUUCUUUUCUCCUCUCUUCAUCUACUUCCUUUUUUCUUCUUCUUUUCUUUCUUUUCUUUUCUUUUCUUUUCUCUUCAUCUACUUUCUCUUCUUCUUUUUCUCCAUAGUCGAAUCCUUCUACUAUUUUACUCACCUCCACUUUCUAAUCAUUUGUUCCUAAGCUUUAUACACAAAAGCCGAAAUCCCGAAAGCCUAUAUUUC